rnacentral:rRNA from 1 species
AUUGAACGCUGGCGGCAGGCCUAACACAUGCAAGUCGAACGAGUGGCGGACGGGUGAGUAAGUUCUGGGAAACUGCCCUCUGGAGGGGGAUAACUACUGGCAACGGUAGCUAAUACCGCAUACCAUCAGCUGUGCGCAGGUGGGAUUAGCUUGUUGGUUGGGUAACGGCUCACCAGGGCGACGAUCCCUAGCUGGUCUGAGAGGAUGACCAGCCACACUGGAACUGAGACACGGUCCAGACUCAUACGGGAGGCAGAAGUGGGGAAUAUGGCACAAGGGGCGGAAGCCGGAUGCAGCCAUGCCGCGUGGAUGAAGAAGGCCUGCGGGUUGUAAAGGAAUUUCAGCGUGGAGGCGUUACCCGAAGAAGAAGCACCGGCUAACUCCGUGCCAGCAGCCGCGGUAAUUC